ensembl:lncRNA
AACCACUUAACGUAUUUUCUAUUUUACUUAUUUACAUCGUUUGCAGUCUGUGGACCCUGCCCUACUCCUGAAUGUAUACGUUCCACCAAGAUGGCAAUUUCUGUCUAUUUUUUCCCCACCGUUAUAUUCUCAGUGCCUCAGUCUCAAUGUGUUUGUUGAGUGAAUGAAUAAACAAAUGAAUGCUAACUCUUGUUACCCAGGCAGAGGAAUUCCUUAAGCUCACUCGUAUCUCAGAAAGGUGAGACAGAGAGGAAAGGUUUCUAUCAUUUUUAACUCAUUGUUAUGGAAAUGACAACACACGGUUCAGGAGCCAAUGUGAUGUGUCCACGUAACAGCUUCUCACUAGUGUGGCUUGUUUUGGGGGCAAAUCAUAAAUUCUCAGAGCAGCAUUCUUCAAAGCCUUUUGACUUGACUCACAUUUAAAAACACAUUUCCCAUUCUGCCUCAGUACACGCAUACACACAUACAUAAUGGAAACAAAGGUUUCACAAAACAGUACUUAUCCUUAUGACAUGCUCUCAAGGUUUCCCGUCCCAUUUCAUUCUGCUAUAUUUCACUGUUUAAAAACUGGAUAAGACCCCCUGCUAGGUCCUGGAGAAAUCGUGCAGGCAGGCACCCAUCCUCGCUGUUGUCAAGCAUCUCCCGGGUUUGGAUUGCCAUGGGUUCGACACUGUUGUUCCGGGUGUGUAUGGUGAGGGCAUCUUCGGUGCUGCCUGGAGAAGGGAACCAUCCGCCUUAGCAGAUAAGAGGGCUGGGGGCAGAGCUGCAUCUUCUCGUGAAACUGAGGCGCCUGAGAGGGACUGUGCCUGGACCAAGAACUGCCGUCCUCCUCCUGCCACUGAGCCAGGAUAUGCCGGGCCAUUCUCAUCUUCUUCUUCAUCUUCAUUCUCAUCUUCGUUAGCUGGUCUGAGUGUUCACCGAGUUCAAAGACUCUACAGCAUCCCCAUAACGGGUACAAGUGACCUUUAAUCCUGGUCCUGUCUCAGAUGUCUAAAUGGUCCCUGACUCACAGGCAUUUGGUGCUUGAAUUUCUGAUUGUCAAGUGUUUUUAAAAAUCACUAAAACAUGAGCCACCUCACAUGGUUCCAAAUGGCAUGACUCGUGAAGCUAAUGAAAAAUUAUGGCAAAGCACUUUUCCUACAGCGCAAGCUACUCAUUGGGCCCAGAAAAGGCAAUGUUGAUGAAGUGCCAUUAAAUUACGGCCUGAGAUGCCACCUGCGGGCAAAUCUGGGUCUAAUUUGCCUUUUUGCAAGUCGUUUUCUAUUUCUUUGAACGUGAAAUGAAUCCCGAGGACGGUAGAUGAUAAAGAUGCUGCCCCUUCAAAACUGAUUUGAUUUUAAACGUAUUUGUCUUUCUUUUUUUUUUAAGCAUGUGGUUCAAGAGGAAUGAUAAUAAUAAAAAAAUCUCUUCCUAAGUUUCAGCUCAGCAGUACCUCCAUAUGGGGAAAAUGCCCCCGACACACACCUUACUCCCGUGCUGCCCUGUCCCCACCACACAGCCUGGGGGGUGAGAAGCUGGGCUGGGGAUGGAAGGCAGGUAGGUGCUGGACCACAGAGAGUUCAGGGAGAAAGCAGGAGUAAGCGAGUCAUCUGGAGGGUUCUUUCUGGCUCUCCUCUCCCUUGGCCCGUUUCCCUCACCUUCCCUGUGGGCCGUGCCCGUUUGCUCUGAUUUCUUUCUUAUGGUCGGAAGCCCCCAUCUCUCUCCCCUGUUGUUUCCAUUUAAACCUUCCUGCCUGGUGUCUCACUCCUGGAGGAUAAUUGUUAAGUUUAGUGGAUUUCUCUGCAAAGGUAACACUUUUUGUCACCAUGAGGAAACAAAGGCCAGCUCCACAGUGUGGGAAAUUCUACAGGGCAAAUGACCGGCUUUUUCCACCGCAUGAGUAGCAUGGGGACGAGGGGAGGAGCUGUUAUAAAGAAAAGAGACCAGAGACGUACUAAUCAGAGUCAACUUCGUCUCAAAGGAGCGGCAAGAGCAUAAAGAAUCCCGGACUGUCAGUCAUGCAGCUUCAACCUUUAUCAAUAUUUUGCAUUAAGCAUUUCUUUCCACACUAAGGGUCAAACUGACCUGCUGUGCCAGCAAACGUCUCCCGACUGUGGUAAACGAGCUAUCCCUGUUGUAUGAUACAUGUUCCUUGUUCCAAGACAGUACAUAACCACGCAUCCACGUGGCUUCUUCCGAGUCCUCCUUCUUGGGGGAGGUGCUCUCCCGGGCUCUCUAAUCCACAGACUGACUUGUAUAAGGAACUCAUCUCAAUUUUGAUUUAUAGAUUGAUUAUUGAUUAUUCGUGUCGACAGUUUGUUUCAUGGAGAAUUCCAAAACAGAUCCAAGAGUUCACAGUAUUUCACCCAUAACUACUUCAACACGCACCUCUUGCAGAAAGACUCUUCGGCAAGAAGCGUUCAGCCUUCAGAGCGGGGCUCCCCGGGAAGCACCCCUACGAGUCUGUGGCCAACCGUGCAUCUAUGUACACUCUGCACCACGAAACUGUGUUUUAACUUCAUUUCUGACUCAAACACGUCCCUCUUCUUGCUGUCACUUUUUCUUUCUCAUCUACUUCAAAUCUGUGUUACCUCAUUUUAUUGGUAUGUCCCUGUAAGCAGAGGUGUGCUGGUGAAUAUUUCACACUAAUUCUCUGGGGAAAAAAAGUAUAUAUAUAUAUGCAAAUUAAUUAUAAAUGUUGCUGCUAUAAAUGUAUAACCCACAAUAAGCAAAUAAUAGUAAAAUACACAAUACUCUUUAUUGUAAAU